rnacentral:snoRNA from 1 species
UUGGCCCUGAAUGAAGGCCAGCAGUUUUCUAAAGCUGUCGGUUUCCGGCAGGAUCCUAAAGUGAUAUUUUUCUGUGGUCUUUGGCCAUUUCAGAACUUAAUACAUGUAAUGUUCAAUUCAUUAGAAAGAAGAAGCU